UAUCUUUAAUGUUUUUUUUUCUGACAUAUUUAUUUUUUUCUACUAUAUAUUUUUUUCUAUAUGUAUUGCUUGUGUGUACUUUUGUGUUUUACAUGUUUUUUUUUAUAAUAGUUAAAAAUGUAGUAAAGCUGGAGGAAUAUAUGUUGAUUCAUUUUAAACCAUUUUUUAUUUUUUUGUAUUAGUUUUAAUAUAACUUUGUAGAUGCAUAAUUAGUUACAUAUAUUACAAAUAUAAAUUCAAAUAUGUCAUUUUAUUUAUGUUUGUGUAUGAAAAUAUUUAUUUAUU
rnacentral:lncRNA from 1 species